rnacentral:rRNA from 1 species
AACGCUGGCGGCGUGCUUAACACAUGCAAGUCGAGCGGUAAGGCCCUUCGGGGUACACGAGCGGCGAACGGGUGAGUAACACGUGGGUGAUCUGCCUCGCACUCUGGGAUAAGCCUGGGAAACUGGGUCUAAUACCGGAUAUGACCUUACAUCGCAUGGUGUUUGGUGGAAAGAUUUAUCGGUGCGAGAUGGGCCCGCGGCCUAUCAGCUUGUUGGUGGGGUAAUGGCCUACCAAGGCGACGACGGGUAGCCGGCCUGAGAGGGCGACCGGCCACACUGGGACUGAGACACGGUCCAAACUCCUACGGGAGGCAUCAGUGGGGAAUAUUGCACAAUGGGCGAAAGCCUGAUGCAGCGACCCCGCGUGAGGGAUGACGGCCUUCGGGUUGUAAACCUCUUUCGACAGGGCCGAAUCGCUUUUGACGU